GUCAGGAUGGCCGAUCGGUCUAAGGCACAGCGUUUUGACUUCUGUGGGCGUGGGUUCGAAUCCCACUUCUGAUA